UCUUCAAUGUGACGGAGCUGGGCAGUGUCAGUGUAAACCAAAUUAUACAGGAGAGAAAUGUACAAGAUCGACAGCGAGAGGUUGAAUUCUUCAAAUGCCUUCCAAUAAUUUCAAACUUUCCUAGAGAAAGGAAACAUAGACUAUUAUUUUAUGUAAAUCUAUUUGUAAGAAAUAAGAUUAGGAAUAAAAGUGAAUUCAAAUUA